GACGAACGCUGGCGGCGUGCUUAACACAUGCAAGUCGAACGGAAAGGCCCUGCUUUUGUGGGGUGCUCGAGUGGCGAACGGGUGUGUAACACGUGAGUAACCUGCCCUUGACUUUGGGAUAACUUCAGGAAACUGGGGCUAAUCCCGGAUAGGAGCUCCUGCUGCAUGGUGGGGGUUGGAAAGUUUCGGCGGUUGGGGAUGGACUCGCGGCUUAUCAGCUUGUUGGUGGGGUAGUGGCUUACCAAGGCUUUGACGGGUAGCCGGCCUGAGAGGGUGACCGGCCACAUUGGGACUGGGAUACGGCCCAGACUCCUACGGGAGGCAGCAGUGGGGAAUAUUGCACAAUGGGCGGAAGCCUGAUGCAGCAACGCCGCGGGCGGGAUGACGGCCUUCGGGUUGUAAACCGCUUUCGCCUGUGACGAAGCGUGAGUGACGGUAAUGGGUAAAGAAGCACCGGCUAACUACGUG
rnacentral:rRNA from 1 species